UUCUCUAUAUCAACCCUUUGGAGAGUCAGGGAGUUUCUCCAAUAUUGGAGAGUGAGGCCAACGAUUUUGGAGAGCGAAAAUUUUAAAAACCCAUUUAUGGAGAAGCUGUUGGAAGGGGAUUUUUCCUCAGAUUCCGUGAAGAUGGAGAUGGAGAGCUAAAUAGAGAUACUCUAAACCCGGCUUCGGUGAACCCUCUUGAAC
rnacentral:lncRNA from 1 species